GUACAGUGCCGCGAGGAGCGGUGAAAACCCUAGCCAAUCCUCUCUCGUCCCCGCGCCUCCAUUCUCCUCCCUCCACGCUAUCCUCCCGCGCCUCCCUCAUAGCCCCGGCGCGGCGCCGCCUCCACCACCUCCUCCUCUCUCUGCUUGCCUCCUCUCUCGCUCAAGAAGGCGGACCGAGCGGCGGCGGCAUAUUGUCCGUAGAUGGAGAAGGCGGACACGAGCGGCGGCGCCAUCUUGUCCGCGGAUGGCAGACGUGUUUCUUGCCGCCGCCGCUGCUCCUCUCCCUCGCCUCCUCUGCGACGCUUCCUCCUCUUCUCUUCUCCCGCUCCAGUCAUGGCGAUGGCGGCCGGGCAGGGAAGCGGCGGCCGGGCCAGGCAGGGCGGCGGCGGCCGGGAACGGAGAAGCGGCCGGGCUGGGAGAGCGUCCUCGUCGCCUUCAACCUCCCCACGCGAGGAUGACAUUAGUCUGCAAUUGUACUCAAUGAACGAUAGCAGUUUUGUUUGCAAAUAGAGAGGAAAAAGUAGGGACGGUGAAGCCUUGGGUUACAUGACAAAUGCAAAAAACUUUUCAAACAGGUGUGCCUGCAAUGGAACAUUGGAUUUCAGCAAUAUUAUUGGUUCUGCAUACAAGGGUACUAUCAAAUGGAGUUGAAAUUGCAGCUGCGUUAAGUUUGGUGACAUUUGCAAAGGAUUGGUUGAAAGAACAGAGUCACCAACUCACCAUACAGGAAAAUGUUGUUCUCCUGUUUUUGACUGCAUCCUUGCGCCGUCGUUACAAGCGAUUUCCCUUCACUACAGCCCCUUUCAUGUCGUUGUUACAAGAGAUUUCACAGUUUCCCCUUGUUACCAUGUUCUUCAGUUAAAAUGCAGUUGUAGUGCUCCAAAGUUAUUUUCUUUACUGUGGUUCGGAUAAGUACAUAUUCAACGAUGUUGGACAUUGCGGUUGGUGGCUACAUAUUUCAAAGAUCAUCUGGGCUAAACCUUGAAAUCAAAUGUAAUUUUGAAGCCAUUCUUGAUUAUUUUGCCAGCUGCGGUACAUGAUCAGAACUAAGGCGACAAUGGCCAGACUAUGUCUGGUGCAUAGAUUUAAUUGAUACAUUGCCAGUUUGGACAACACCUUCAAACAUUAUCUCGGAAAGAGUUCAUCUGCACAACAAGACUUGGAUGGAAAGGCCUUUCUGCCCCAGCACAACAUAACUCCUGGGGUCAUAUUCGGCCUCCCAAGGUCCUACUAGGGUUGUUCUUUCUAAGGGUGAAGCAUUGCCUGUUGUGCCAAUGCCGGGCAAAAGGAAUAGCUCUUUUGAAGGACAAAAUGCUGUAACUCUCUUCAUAUACAAGAUAGAACUUAUGACUUCAAUUCCGGUAUAAUUUCACCACUUGCGCCUGUGGCGCAAUGGGUCAUAUAUUCUCUGAGGUUCCCUAAUGUUCCUGAAAGCUGCCCUCAUGUUUGCUAAUGUUUGAUUUGUGCUGUCGCAAGUAGCUUUUGUUUGCACUACUGGACGAACUAUGUUGAGCUUUACUUCUAGGAGGCAAAUUACUCUUUAGCUUAAACAGAUACUUAGAUUUUACAGGACAUUUUACAUGGCUCUUUGAUCACAUCUCCUGGUAUUUUGGGUCUUUCAGGUGAUAGAAAUAGCCAGAUGGGUCACGAAAACAUCGUGAAGAUGGUGAGAUAUUGCAAGGAGUCUGAUCCGUUCUGAGGAAUGCUUGUCUUUGAGUACCAGCCAAAUGGGACCCUCUAUGAUGGGAAAGGAUGUUAACUAUCUUGGCCAGGCGAAGAUUGUGCUCAGCAUCGCGCGCAUUCUAAUGCACUUCACAGUGAGCCGAUGGCUCUGUUCGCGCUCCCCGUGUUGACGGCCAGUUCGGUCUAUUAGUUAUAACAUGGCUUCUUCACUGCAGUUGACAACGAAGACUGCAGGGUGAAAACCCCACAUCAAAUUUAUUGAUUAGUAAAGUCAUAUACAAAAGAUUUGCAAAGGUUAGAGAGUCAGCUAGCUAUAACAGAGAGUCAAUCCAUAUUGCAAACUGUUGUGGGUACUUGGCUUUCACCCUAUGCAAGUGCAGGGUGACCUCAUGCCUAAAUUUGCUUCUCCAGGAUCUAAAAGAUGGCAACACAUUCUGAAAAAUAGCUUCAUUUCUCUCUUUCCAAAUGUGCCAGGCAGCUAGAAUAACAACCUCAGUGAAGAAUGGGUGACCAAGCUGCUGCUUUGUCAACAUAAAACUCAGCUCAAUGGAGUUACCCUGCUGCCAGUGAAUCUGUAGAUAGUUCCAUAUCCUGAUGCUAAAGUUGCAGCCAAAAAAGAGAUGCAUCCAAUCCUCAGUGCACCUUGUGGGACACAACACACAGUGAGACAUUCUCCAAAAAAAAAACACGCACAGUGAAAGACAUCAGUGACAUUCCAGUGUCGUCUGCGAAGCAUGUCUCUGGUAUUUAGUCUAUCACUGAAAAGCAGCCAAGCAUGGUAUUUUCAAUUUAAAUCAUGUAAGUGUGGUUUGUCAUGGAUGUGAUACUCCGUGCUGCAAUCAUUUGGCAAUCAUUCUUGCCACGAAGAAAUUUGUAGAGAUUACCACCUUUGAGAAGGUUAAAAGAUACAAUAUGUUCUCCUCGAGUAAAAUUAGUUCUGCGCAUUCUGAAAUA